rnacentral:ncRNA from 2 species
GAUAGUCGCGAACGUCGUGGUCUUCAUGCGAUCUUGCAUGAAGCUAAGAGGGAAUUCGGUGCGCUGACUUGUUCGGCAAUGCCGAAGCUGCCCCCGCAACUGUAAGCGGCGAGCGUCGUCCAUCGCGCAUGAUCUCAUCACGCGUGAACGUCACUGAGGUAAACGCCGUUAAGGCGGAGGCCUUGGGAAGACUGGACGCAGGCACCGACCCGCGAGCCAGGAGACCUGCCUCGACAUCAUAACGUCC